AUUGAACGCUGGCGGCAGGCCUAACACAUGCAAGUCGAACGAGUGGCGGACGGGUGAGAAAUGUCUGGGAAACUGCCCGCUGUAGGGGGCUAACUCCUGGAAACGGUAGCUAAUACCCCAUACCCUCUGCUGUGCACACAUGGGAUGAGCUUGUAGGUGAGGUAACGGCUCACCUAGGCGACGAUCCCUAGCUGGUCUGAGAGGAUGAUCAGCCACACUGGAACUGAGACACGGUCCAGACUCCGACGGGAGGCAGCAGUGGGGAAUAUUGGACAAUGGGCGAAAGCCUGAUGCAGCAAGGCAGCGUGUAUGAAGAAGGCCUUCGGGUUGUAAAGUACUUUCAGCGGGGAGGCGUUACCCGCAGAAGAAGCACCGGCUAACUACGUGCCAGCAGCCGCGGUAAUUC
rnacentral:rRNA from 1 species